GCAGAACGCCAUCCCGUUGCCGCAACGACGGUCCCCCUGUUAGAGGCAAAAAAAAACUGCAGAUGCUGGAAUCCAAGGUAAACAAAACAGGAGGCUGGAAGAACACAGCAGGCCGGGCAGCAUCUGGUGGAAAGGAGCAGUCAACGUUUCGGGUAUUACCUUUCUUCAGGACUAUCCUCUGCUCAUCUCUUCAGUGUGGAUCAGUGGUGACAAGUUUUUCAUCAAAUAUCAGUGAGUCCUAACCACCUGCCUAAAGGGAUGUCACUGAAACCAAAACAAAAGGAAAUCAAGCAAUCAAAUUCAAAUGUCAGUCAGGGCGAUGGGGCUCACUGUUCCUCUAACUUCCUGCUUAGCUCAAUGAUGUAUUUGGUGCUUAAUUUAUUGGAGAAGCAAUAACAGCGUUUGGAGAAAACCAACUGGACAGAGCUGCCUAGUGACGACAUAGUUCAGUGAUCUCUGGAGUUACCUUUGAUAAAACAAAUGAUUGAGGUAAAAGGAUUUUUUAACCUACAACAUGAAACACAUUGUUGUCAGAUCCAGAGGGAACACCCGACUAUUGCAAUGGUCGUUCACUCAUCCAAAAUCUUACUGCCUAUAUCCUAAUUCGCACCAAAUUCUAUUCACUCAUGUGUUUGCUGUUCUACCGUUGUUCCCAGUCUGCAAUAUUGCAAUUCUAAAAUGCUCUUUAAAAAGCUCUUCAAAAACAUGAUUGUCCUCACUCAUUUUUUACCUCUGCAACAUCCUAUAACCUUCUGAAAUCUCUGUGUUCCUCCAAUACUGGUAUUUCCCCAGUGUUAAUCAUUCCAAUAUUGGUGGCUGUGCUUUCAGCUGCCUAGGCUUCAAGAUCUGCAAUUCUCUCCCUAAAUAAUUCCUAUUUCACUUUCCUCCUUCUGCGUAAAAUCUAUUUGCCAAUGCUUUUGGUCCUGCCUCAUGUGACUUGGUGUCAAAUUCUGUUUGAUAACACUGCUAUCGAGCAAUUUGUAAAAUCUAAACAUAGUGCAAGCAUUCUUCUUGAGUUCUUGCUAAAUGCAUCACAAUCUCCAGCAUGGAUUCAGACCAGCCAUCCAAAUAGCUCAUCCAUCCCCAAGGAGUCCAAUUUGCAGUUUCAAGAUGCACCUUUACAUGCUGGAUUCUGGAGCUAUAGAUUGUGACAGUAGAGGCUCCAAUUUCUUUUGAUCACAUGGCCCUUCCUUGACCAUUAUGCCUUGGAGUGGGACCUGAACUUGAACUAGUCACACACUCUUUCAAACACCCAAUUCUCCAUAAACUUUACUGCACUCCCUGUCUUCCUGUUCUAAAUGUUCCCCACCCUCUUCUUGAAUUAAAUCUGAGUUAUUCAUCCACUCUUCCUUUACAUGAAAAUUGUUUUCCUUGCAUCUUUCAACUCCACCUUCCCAGUUAUCUUAAAUGCUUUUUAACUUCCCAGACCUCAUCACCCCAAUUUCCUACCAGCUAAAUUGCAAUACUUACCUUCACAUGUACCAACACUCCUUUACAACUCCCAACGGCUACAAAAUCCAGCUUUUACAACAUAGUUCCUAUUUUGCAUCGGAAAUAGUGAAGUCUGAAAAAAUGUCCAAGUUGCCUGGCUCACUCCAUCUUUUCCCCCAAAUACCUGAACAUUCGUCCUCUUCAAAUAUAGGUACAUGUGAAUUGCCUUUGAAAUAUUCCAUAGAAUCUGCUUCCACCAUCCAUUCGUGUGUGCAAUGUUAACAACUCCCUGUGAAAGCUGUUUAUUUUCAGGAUCUCUAGUUUGAAUUCAGCCCAGACUGGCUUGAUAACUAAGAAAAAUAUGCUAUCUGGCAUACUCACAUAGGAACCUAGGAAGCCAUCUUGAUUCCAGAGCCUGUUUCAUUAUUCAAUGUGAUCAUGGCUGAUCCAUGGCCAAACCCUAAAUAUCCAUUUUGUCUCCAUAUCUCCUGAUUCCUUUAGUUAGAAAAAAUCUAUCAAUCACAAUUAUAAUUAAAAAUUGAUUUAGCACCUAUCAUUGUUUGUGGAAGAGAAUUCAAAAAUCUACCGUAAUGUUUCUUAAUGUUAAUUCUGAAAGUUCUGGCAUUACAUUUUAGAUUAUGCACCUUAGUCCAAGACACCCUACUGAGCGGAAAUUGUUUCCAAAUUCUGGUGUUACAGCGGUUUUUACAGUGUUUAUCUGAUAAGUAUAGUUGCCUCCUUGAUAAAAGCUGUCCAGUUUUUCUUCCAUUCUUACAUGAGCUAUAAGCAUCAUGGACAAGGCUGGCAUUUGUUGCCUGUCCCUAUUUUCCCCUCAACUGAGUGCCCCUUUAGGUCAUUUUGGAGGACAAUUAAGAGUCAGCAACAUUGCUGUGGGUCUGGCGUCACAUGGAGGCCGGGUACAGUAAGGAUAGAAGAUUUCCUGCCUGAAAGGCAAUAGUGAACCAGAUGGGUUUUAAUGACAAUCAUCUAUGGUCACCAUUAGAUUAACUUUUAAUUGCAGAUUUUAUAGAAUUCAAAUUUCAUCAUAUGGUCUGCUAGGAAUCAAAUCCUUGUCCCCAGAACAUUAGCGUCGGUCACAAGUCUGGUGACAUUACUGUUACUCCACUGCCUUCCCAAAUGCUAAGUCAUUCUAAUUUAUAAAUAAUCUCUUGAAGAAAGUGUAGACCUUUGAUGGACGAAGGCUGCUAUUUUAAUGUUCUAGUAGAAAGUGCUAUUUAAUUGUUAGGUCAAAGACCCUUGUACUGGUGGAGAGUAAAGUGUGUUUUGUGUCUAAUCAUUGUUACGGUUGAGAACGGGACUCCUUUUUCUAAUAAAGAAAAAGGUGAGAGGUGAACUGAUAGAGGUCCUUAAAGUUGUGAAGAGUUUGAUAGGAUAGACAUAGAAAAAAAUGCUUCCACCUCUGGGCAAGACCAGAACUAGUUUCUAAGGUAAAUUUAGUAAUAAUAAAUCCAAUAAUAAGUUUAGGAGAAGUUUCUUCACCCAGAAAGUAGUGACAGUGUGGAUCAUGUUAAAACAGGGAAUGGUCAAUGUAAAUAGAAUAGAAUAGAAUAGAGUAGAUGCUUUCAACGACAUACAGAUAGGAUGAAAUAAUAGGGUGGAAGAAAGCUCAAAUAGUGCAAAAAUGCUGGAAUGGAUCAGUUGGACCAAAAUGGCCCUUUUCUGUGCUGUAACUUCUUCGUAAUAGCAUAAUGCUUUGAAGAUGACUAGAAUACAAGAUGCCAUCUUCCAGGCAUAAGAAUCUCUUGACUUGUUGUGCAUCAAAUUCAAGUAAUAAAAUUUAAACAGAAACCUGUCAUUACAGAUUACACAUUGAAUAGACACUGGUACCAAUUGUUUUUGUUCUCACAUACACCUCUGGAGGGAGCUACAAUACUGCUAAUAAAGUGGAAUUAUUCAGCGUUUUACAAUAGACACUUGAAUUAAGAGUGUUUUAGACCUGUAAGUUAAAAUCACAGUAGUUUUACCAGAUCAUAGGGCUGCUGUCUCUUUAGACAGAGAUGACAGAUGGUGGUUUAACUUGAGGGUCACCAUACUUAAGGCAAGGGGAGAGGUUGAGCAGAGGAAUACCUCAUGAUAACCUCAGCCAAUGUGGGAGGAGCUGGACACGUAAAUGACAGGAGAAAUGUUUCACUAAAAUGUUGCUAUAUGCAUUGUGUAGAAAAGUGAACAAUUUAAAUGCCACAGUUCUGCUAAAUGUUUUUCAAAUAUCCUGUUGGGAGCUAAAUAAAUAAGAUUCCAUUUCUGCAGUGCAUUGUAUGACCUCAGGAUGUCCCAAAACAUUUCAUAGCCAAUGAAAAACUUUUGAGUUGUGGAAAUGCAGCAUGUAAAUUGCACACAGCGUGAUCCCAUAAACCAGUGAAAUGAAGAUUGUUUUGGAGAUUAAUGUUUGUUGAAGGACAAGAAGAACUUUCCUGCUCUUCAUGAAAUAAUACCAUUGAUCUUUAUGCCCACCUUGGAAAACAGACAGAAAUUAGAUUUAAUGUCUCAUCCAUCCCUGCAAUGAAUAUUUAAUAUCAUAGUGGGUGUGCCAGCUUCAAUUUUGAGCUCAAGUCUCUGGGGUGGAAAUUGAAUACAUAACCUUCUGACUCAAACAUGAGUGUGUUACCCACAACUGGUAUUGACAUUUUUUCCCCUUUACUAAUGAUAUAGGAAAGUUACCAAGGGGCUGAAUCUUAACUUUUUUUUGGCGAAGUCCAAGUUUUGUGGAGGGAUUUCCACCGCAAAGCGUAAUGAAUUUCCUCACGAUAUCUCACCAAUCCGUCUCAUUAACAACAUGUCCUGUCCCAUCUGUCCCUCAAGACUGAUUCCCGCCCCAUCUUAUAGCUCCAACCCCAGAACAAUUUGCACUCAGCGGAUAUCCUCCAAAAUGCUGUCAUCCUCUGUGGUUGUGCCAUCUUUUCAAGUUCAUUCUGCACCCAAAUGAGCACUGGCAUUCCAAAACUGCUCUGCUCAUUGAAGGAGAGAAUCUGGAGGUGGAGGAGAAGGGGAGGAUGGCACUGCAAUACUUUUACAGGACUUGGAGGUCUUGUCUGAGGACCUGGAGGACUGACAGAGGUGGUCAUGACACCAGAAGCUCGCAUCCUGGUUCAAGGUCACCAUCCAAGUCAGUGCCAUUUCCACAGUGCAGAGGAACUGCCAGCAGUACCUUCUCCAUUGUACUAGGGAGAAGAAAGCCUCUAACAGGGCAUAGAAAAUCUGUACAGGUGGAAGCAUAUCUGACAUUAGGGCCCUCACCUCAGACAAGGAGAGAAUUCUGGCCUUUGCAGGAUAAGAUGGGACUGGUCCUGUACAAGUGCCGAGAUGUCCAUGUCCUACCAACUGAUAACCAGAUUGCAUGUCUACAUCUUCCUGAAAUGCCAUCUCCUCAACUUCUGUGGAAAUGAGUACCAAGACCUCAGAGGAAGCAUCGGCAAAGCUGCCUCCUGCAUCCCUCAUCAUCUCAGCUGGAUUCUGAAACUCUAUAUUGAAGAAAUUACACUGGUUCCUCAUGUGAUUGUGACAUAAAUUUGGCAGUUUCGUCCAGGAUCAAUACACAGAUAAUCAAGAGAAGUUGUAAUCCUUCUGUAUAAUUUAGUACUUUCUGAAAAUUAGAUGAAGUAGGAAAAGUUUGAAAAAAAAAUUAAAAUGGAAGAAACACAACAAAGUCUUGCCAUUUUCACCACUACCAGAUGACUCAAGAUGUUUUAUCACCAAUUAAAUACUUGUUGAAGUAUA